AGUGGGAUUGCUGGGUCAUAUGGUAGUUCUAUUUUUCGUUUUUUAAGAAACUUCCAGAUUGUUUUCCAUAGUGGCUGCAAUUAUUUACAUUCUCACCAAUGGU
rnacentral:pre_miRNA from 1 species